rnacentral:rRNA from 1 species
UGGGGAAUAUUGGACAAUGGGCGCAAGCCUGAUCCAGCAAUGCCGCGUGAGUGAGGAAGGCCUUAGGGUUGUAAAGCUCUUUCACCCACGACGAUGAUGACGGUAGUGGGAGAAGAAGCCCCGGCUAACUUCGUGCCAGCAGCCGCGGUAAUACGAAGGGGGCGAGCGUUGUUCGGAUUUACUGGGCGUAAAGGGCGCGCAGGCGGCUGAUCAAGUCAGACGUGAAAGCCCCGGGCUUAACCUGGGAACUGCGUUUGGGACUGGUUGGCUAGAGAUCGGGAGAGGAGAGUGGAAUUCCCAGUGUAGAGGUGAAAUUCGUAGAUAUUGGGAAGAACACCGGUGGCGAAGGCGGCUCUCUGGACCGAUACUGACGCUGAGGCGCGAAAGCGUGGGGAGCAAACAGGAUUAGAUACCCGUGUAGUCC